CACUGCACUGCCCUUGCUCAAAAAUUUUGCAGCAGGAUCCCAUUUUAUGGCGGCGGUUCUUUCAAAAUAACGCUUAGCACUGUUACUUGCCUAAUUUUUCAAGAAAAGAAAUUGCGAAUUUGCCUUCGUCUAGGUUGUCCACAUCGAAUGCCCCAGCAAUUAAAGGAAACCAAUCUCGAAGGCCAUGCUUUGCCGUGCUGCGAAGUUGAACGGCGGAACUGACAUAGCUGCCAUUUUUUAAACAUCGCCCACUGCGAGGGGCGCAGACGAAGGCAAUUUCGCAUAUUUUUUUUCUUGACUAUCAAGUCAGUCAAGCAACGGUGCAAAGUUAGGUGACGCCAACUCUCCUCUGAUUCAUGUCUUGCCUAGGUGGCGCUGCUAUCCGUAGCGCGAUGAAGAACGAGUGAGGAAUAUGAAAGAAAGUUAAUGGGCUGGGAGAGUGUUGAGGUGUCUGUACAGGAAAAACAUUGAUUCACAAUGGAGGAAAAGAACUAUGAAGCUUACAAGCAAGUAUGCGGCCUGUAGGGUGAGCAACACAGCAACAAAGAACGUCAAGCGGAAAGUCAAAGAGGCUGAAAUAAUCUCAUGAGUGGCGGACAUGGAAAAAAAAAAGAACCUGCCAUGAGGAAAAAAACUUAAGAGGAAAAAAACAAAAUCAGGAAAGAAACAAUUUAUGAUAACUCAAAGGGAAGCUCAAUACUUUUCGAAGUGGGAUCAGGAUGCCUUAGAACACGCACCUACAAAGCGAGAUAUAAUAAGGAAGAAGAAGCGUGUGCUUGGGCUGCGGUAAAGCUAGGGAAACGAUGGAAGCAUGUUUUAUUAAAAUGUGAGAAAAUCUGCCCAGCGGUCGAUUUAGGCACCAUUGGCCUCCUUGAAACCCUUGAGUUCAGCGAGAACAGGGGAGAAGUAAGCAUGUCCGCAACAGACAUUAGUAAGAGGCGAUUGGAAAAUUGGUGGAAGCAGGGAAACGACAAAAAACGGAGUCGUACAAAAGCAAAGUUCACAAUAGGGGGUAUGAAAAUUAGGUUGUGGGAGUUCAUCGUGUUUUUUUUUUUUUUUUUUUUUAACCUGGGUAGGACAAUAGACAGCAUAAUAGCAAGAGCUUAGUGGCGCAAACCACUGCCCCGUUCCAAAGGGGACGCUCAUAACAUCCAUCCAUCCUCGAUGCGCCCACCGCGCUGGGCCGUGCUGGCCGCGGGCAGCCUUUAGCAAUUUCUCUGCGACUUGUGUUGAGACGUGUAUUGUGUAUAAGACGUGUACGAGUAUUCGGACGCGCUUCCAUGCCGAUAAGUUAAAAACACAAGUGAGGACUUGAUGCCCAUAGUGAAUAAAGUUCUACAUGCAGUUUCAGCUCUUGA
rnacentral:lncRNA from 1 species